AGUAACGCGUAGGUAAUCUACCCUUAUACCUGGGAUAACAUUGGGAAACUGGUGCUAAUACCGGAUGGUCUUCUUUGCUGCGGGGCAGAGGAGUAAAGGUGGCCUCUUCAUGAAAGCUACCGUACAGGGAUGAGCCUGCGUACCAUUAGCUAGUAGGUGGGGUAACGGCCCACCUAGGCUACGAUGGUUAGCGGGUCUGAGAGGAUGAUCCGCCACACUGGAACUGAAACACGGACCAG
rnacentral:rRNA from 1 species